rnacentral:tRNA from 1 species
GGGCCCGUAGCUCAGCAUGGUAGAGCAGCGGGCUUUUAUCUCGGGGAGUGGUCGCGGGUUCAAAUCCCGCCGGGCCCG